UGCUAUAUGAUGACUUCUAUUUUAUAUCAAUGGGAAUCUCUCUGAAUAAGGGUGAAAGAUAACCAGUUUCUGAUAGCA